rnacentral:rRNA from 1 species
UACGGAGGGUGCGAGCGUUAAUCGGAAUUACUGGGCGUAAAGGGUUCGUAGGUGGUUAAUUAAGUUAUCUGUAAAAUCCCUGGGCUCAACCUGGGCAGGUCAGAUAAUACUGGUUAACUCGAGUAUGGGAGAGGGUAGUGGAAUUUCCGGUGUAGCGGCGAAAUGCGUAGAGAUCGGAAGGAACACCAGUGGCGAAGGCGGCUACCUGGCCUAAUACUGACACUGAGGAACGAAAGCGUGGGGAGCAAACAGG